GACGAACGCUGGCGGCGCGCUUAACACAUGCAAGUCGAGCGAUGAAACUGUAACAGAACCCUUCGGCGGGAAGGGACAGGGGAGUAACGGCGGACGGGUUAGUAACACGUGAGUGACCAGCCUUAGACAUGGGGGUAGACACGGGAAACCGGGAGUAAUAGCAAAUAAAAGAAUUAUGACACAUGUCAUAACGAACAAAACUCCGGUGGACUAAGAUGGACGCGCGUCGAAUUCGCUAGUUGGUAGGGUAAAAGCCUACCAAGGCGAGGAUGGGUAGCCGCUCUGAGAGGAUGGACAGGCACCCUGGAACUGAGGCACAGUCCAGACUCCUGCGGGAGGCAGCAGUCGGGAAUAUUGGACAAUGGGCGAAAGCCUGAUCCAGCCAUGCCGAGUGUGUUAAGAAGGUCUUCGGAUUGUAGAGCACUUUAAGUUGUGAAGAAGUGCAGUACGUUAAUACCUGGCUGUUUUGACGGUACCAACAGAAUAAGCACCGGCUAACUUCGUG
rnacentral:rRNA from 1 species